AGUGAACGCUGGCGGUAGGCCUAACACAUGCAAGUCGAACGGCAGCACAGUAAGAGCUUGCUCUUACGGGUGGCGAGUGGCGGACGAGUGAGGAAUACAUCGGAAUCUACUUUUUCGUGGGGGAUAACGUAGGGAAACUUACGCUAAUACCGCAUACGACCUACGUGUGAAAGCAGGGGAUCUUCGGACCUUGCGCGAUUGAAUGAGCCGAUGUCGGAUUAGCUAGUUGGCGGGGUAAAGGCCUACCAAGGCGACGAUCCGUAGCUGGUCUGAGAGGAUGAUCAGCCACACUGGAACUGAGACACGGUCCAGACUCCUACGGGAGGCAGCAGUGGGGAAUAUUGGACAAUGGGCGCAAGCCUGAUCCAGCCAUACCGCGUGGGUGAAGAAGGCCUUCGGAUUGUAAAGCCCUUUUGUUGGGAAAGAAAAGCAGCAGGUUAAUACCCCGCUGUUCUGACGGUACCCAAAGAAUAAGCACCGGCUAACUUCGUG
rnacentral:rRNA from 1 species